rfam:Cucumis sativus cultivar 9930 chromosome 4, whole genome shotgun sequence.
GUCCCUUCGGGGACAUCCGAUAAAAUUGGAACAAUACAAAGAAGAUUAGCAUGGCUCCUGCGCAAGGGUCACACACAAAUCAAGAAAUGGUCCAAAAGAAC